AGUGAACGCUGGCGGUAGGCCUAACACAUGCAAGUCGAACGGCAGCACAGUAAGAGCUUGCUCUUACGGGUGGCGAGUGUCGGACGGGUGAGGAAUACAUCGGAAUCUACUUUUUCGUGGGUGAUAACGUAGGGAAACUUACGCUAAUACCGCAUACGACCUACGGGUGAAAGCAGGGGAUCUUCGGACCUUGCGCGAUUGAAUGAGCCGAUGUCGGAUUAGCUAGUUGGCGGGGUAAAGGCCCACAAAGGCGACGAUCCGUAGCUGGUCUGAGAGGAUGAUCAGCCACACUGGAACUGAGACACGGUCCAGACUCCUACGGGAGGCAGCAGUGGGGAAUAUUGGACAAUGGGCGAAAGCCUGAUCCAGCAAUACCGCGUGGGUGAAGAAGGACUUCGGGUUGUAAAGCCCUUUUGUUGGGAAAGAAAAGCAGCAGGUUAAUACCCCGCUGUUCUGACGGUACCCAAAGAAUAAGCACCGGCUAACUUCGUG
rnacentral:rRNA from 1 species